UACGUAGGCAGCAAGCGUUGUUCGGAGUUACUGGGCGUAAAGGGUGCGUAGGCGGCUUUUUAAGUCUGGUGUGAAAUCUCCCGGCUCAACUGGGAGGGUGCGCCGGAUACUGAGGGGCUAGAGUGUGGGAGAGGAAAGUGGAAUUCCUGGUGUAGCGGUGAAAUGCGUAGAUAUCAGGAGGAACACCGGUGGUGUAAACGGCUUUCUGGACCAUAACUGACGCUGAGGCGCGAAAGCUAGGGGAGCAAACAGG
rnacentral:rRNA from 1 species